AGUGGGGAAUUUUGCGCAAUGGGGGAAACCCUGACGCAGCGACGCCGCGUGGAGGAUGACGGCCUUCGGGUUGUAAACUCCUGUCAGAAGGGACGAAAUCCCGCAAGGGACUGACGGUACCUUCAGAGGAAGCCCCGGCUAACUACGUGCCAGCAGCCGCGGUAAUACGUAGGGGGCAAGCGUUGCUCGGAAUUACUGGGCGUAAAGGGUGAGUAGGCGGUCGAGCAAGUCAAGGAUGAAAUCCCGAGGCCCAACUUCGGAAUUGUUCUUGAAACUGCUCGGCUUGAGGGUAGUUGAGGAGAGUGGAAUUCCCGGUGGAGCGGUGAAAUGCGUAGAUAUCGGGAGGAACACCUGAGGCGAAGGCGGCUCUCUAAACUACUCCUGACGCUGAAUCACGAAAGCUAGGGGAGCAAACGGGAUUAGAUACCCCGGUAGUCCUAGCCGUAAACGAUGGACACUGGAUAUUCCGGCAUUUCUGCUGGAGUGUCGUAGCUAACGCGUUAAGUGUCCCGCCUGGGGAGUACGAUCGCAAGGUUGAAACUCAAAGGAAUUGACGGGGGCCCGCACAAGCGGUGGAGCAUGUGGUUUAAUUCGACGCUACGCGAAGAACCUUACCUGGGCUUGAACUGCUGGUGGUAGAAGCCCGAAAGGGUAACGACCCGGAGCAAUCCGGGAGCCAGUAGAGGUGCUGCAUGGCUGUCGUCAGCUCGUGUCGUGAGAUGUUGGGUUAAGUCCCGCAACGAGCGCAACCCUUACCCUUAGUUGCCAGCGGGUAAUGCCGGGCACUCUAAGGGGACCGCCCCGGAUAACGGGGAGGAAGGCGGGGAUGACGUCAAGUCAGCAUGGCCUUUAUGUCCAGGGCUACACACGUGCUACAAUGGGCGAUACAGAGGGAAGCAAGGCCGCAAGGUAGAGCUAAUCCCUAAAGUCGUCCUCAGUUCGGAUUGCAGGCUGCAACUCGCCUGCAUGAAGUCGGAAUCGCUAGUAAUCGCGGAUCAGCUACGCCGCGGUGAAUACGUUCUCGGGCCUUGUACACACCGCCCGUCACAUCACGAAAGCUGGUCUCGCCCGAAGUCGCUGAGCCAACCCGCAAGGGAGGCAGGCGCCGAAGGUGAGGUCGGUGAUGGGGGUG
rnacentral:rRNA from 1 species